GGAGGAUGAGGUGGAGAAAGCGGUGGUGUCGAGGUCGCCGGCGGGCAGCGGUGGAGGAGUAGGACGGAAGGGGAUAGUGAGGAAGGUACUCCCGGACGUGUUAGGGUUAUUGAAUUCCCGUUUAUGGAGCCUGUGGGGUCCGAACCUGUGAAAGCAGCAGCGAAUUGUUUAAUUUUUUGUGGUUUUUUGCGGGGGAGGAGGGGGGGGGGGGCAGCCAUUAAAUUUUUU
rnacentral:lncRNA from 1 species